AUUGCUUGUCAGCCUUUUGGGUAAGAUCAAGUGUAGCAUCUGUUCUUAUUAGUUUAACAAUAGACUCCCUCAAAAAGGCAAUUACAAUUAAUUACAAUCUUAAAAUCAUACAUGGCUGGCCUCCUGUCCAGCUGCUACUGGUAAGCAGCCUGCACCCCUGUUU
rnacentral:snRNA from 1 species